AGAGUUUGAUCCUGGCUCAGGACGAACGCUGGCGGCACGCUUAACACAUGCAAGUCGAACGAGAGAAGAGGAGCUUGCUUUUCUGAUCUAGUGGCGGACGGGUGAGUAACACGUGAGCAAUCUGCCUUUCAGAGGGGGAUACCGAUUGGAAACGAUCGUUAAUACCGCAUAACAUAAUUGAACCGCAUGAUUUGAUUAUCAAAGAUUUAUCGCUGAAAGAUGAGCUCGCGUCUGAUUAGCUAGUUGGUAAGGUAACGGCUUACCAAGGCGACGAUCAGUAGCCGGACUGAGAGGUUGAUCGGCCACAUUGGGACUGAGACACGGCCCAGACUCCUACGGGAGGCAGCAGUGGGGAAUAUUGCACAAUGGAGGAAACUCUGAUGCAGCGAUGCCGCGUGAGGGAAGAAGGUUUUAGGAUUGUAAACCUCUGUCUUCAGGGACGAAAAAAGACGGUACCUGAGGAGGAAGCUCCGGCUAACUACGUGCCAGCAGCCGCGGUAAUACGUAGGGAGCGAGCGUUGUCCGGAAUUACUGGGUGUAAAGGGAGCGUAGGCGGGAUCGCAAGUCAGAUGUGAAAACUAUGGGCUUAACCCAUAAACUGCAUUUGAAACUGUGGUUCUUGAGUGAAGUAGAGGUAAGCGGAAUUCCUAGUGUAGCGGUGAAAUGCGUAGAUAUUAGGAGGAACAUCAGUGGCGAAGGCGGCUUACUGGGCUUUAACUGACGCUGAGGCUCGAAAGCGUGGGGAGCAAACAGGAUUAGAUACCCUGGUAGUCCACGCCGUAAACGAUGAUUACUAGGUGUGGGGGGACUGACCCCUUCCGUGCCGCAGCAAACGCAAUAAGUAAUCCACCUGGGGAGUACGACCGCAAGGUUGAAACUCAAAGGAAUUGACGGGGGCCCGCACAAGCAGUGGAGUAUGUGGAUUAAUUCGAAGCAACGCGAAGAACCUUACCAGGUCUUGACAUCGUAUGCAUAGCUCAGAGAUGAGUGAAAUCUCUUCGGAGACAUAUAGACAGGUGGUGCAUGGUUGUCGUCAGCUCGUGUCGUGAGAUGUUGGGUUAAGUCCCGCAACGAGCGCAACCCUUACUGUUAGUUGCUACGCAAGAGCACUCUAGCAGGACUGCCGUCGACAAAACGGAGGAAGGUGGGGAUGACGUCAAAUCAUCAUGCCCCUUAUGACCUGGGCCUCACACGUACUACAAUGGCUGUCAACAGAGGGAAGCAAGGCCGCGAGGUGGAGCGAACCCCUAAAAGCAGUCUUAGUUCGGAUUGUAGGCUGCAACCCGCCUACAUGAAGUCGGAAUUGCUAGUAAUCGCAGAUCAGCAUGCUGCGGUGAAUACGUUCCCGGGCCUUGUACACACCGCCCGUCACGCCAUGGGAGUCGGUAACACCCGAAGCCUGUAGUCUAACCGCAAGGAGGACGCAGUCGAAGGUGGGAUUGAUGACUGGGGUGAAGUCGUAACAAGGUA
rnacentral:rRNA from 1 species